rnacentral:rRNA from 1 species
CCAGACUCCUACGGGAGGCAGCAGUGGGGAAUAUUGCACAAUGGGGGAAACCCUGAUGCAGCGACGCCGCGUGAGCGAUGAAGUAUUUCGGUAUGUAAAGCUCUAUCAGCAGGGAAGAAAAUGACGGUACCUGACUAAGAAGCCCCGGCUAACUACGUGCCAGCAGCCGCGGUAAUACGUAGGGGGCAAGCGUUAUCCGGAUUUACUGGGUGUAAAGGGAGCGUAGACGGUCCUGCAAGCCAGAUGUGAAAGCCCGGGGCUCAACCCCGGGACUGCAUUUGGAACUGUAAGGCUAGAGUGUCGGAGAGGCGGGCGGAAUUCCUAGUGUAGCGGUGAAAUGCGUAGAUAUACGGAGGAACACCAGUGGCGAAGGCGGAUUGCUGGACAGUAACUGACGCUGAGGCGCGAAAGCGUGGGGAGCAAACAGGAUUAGAUACCCGAGUA